UACGUAGGGUGCGAGCGUUAAUCGGAAUUACUGGGCGUAAAGCGUGCGCAGGCGGUUCGCCAAGUCAGGUGUGAAAUCCCCGGGCUUAACCUGGGAAUUGCGCUUGAAACUAGCGGGCUUGAGUGUGGGCAGAGGGGGGUGGGAAUUCCACGUGUAGCAGUGAAAUGCGUAGAGAUGUGGAGGAACACCGAUGGCGAAGGCAGCCCCCCUGGGUCAACACUGACGCUCAUGCACGAAAGCGUGGGGAGCAAACAGG
rnacentral:rRNA from 1 species